UCCCCCAUAGCUCAACGGCAGAGCACUCGACUGUUAAUCGAGCGGUUAUUGGUUCGAAUCCAAUUGGGGGAGCGA
rnacentral:tRNA from 1 species